UGCUGUUUUUGCAAAACAUCGAUCGUUUAAUUUCAAAUUAUUGCGUAUUUGUCUUCUGUAAUAGGCUCUGCACACUGAGCCCAUCCCGGGGGAAUGGUGGGAUUUUUUGACAGAUGUGAAACUCCGAUUCACACUGCCACCAUCCACCAUCCGUCAAAAACAGCUGAUCCCAAUAACAAGUUUAUUAAAUUUGCGCGGAAGAUUUAUUAAUUCUUGGUUCUUAUAAUGGAUGAUGAAGAUAUAGCAAUUAUUUCGGCUGUGGUUCAACAGCAAAAUAUUUUCUUGCACCAACUAAUAAUGUUGCUGUCAAUGAAUAAUGAUGAUGAAUGAUGACUUUAACAUUGACGAGGAUGAGAUGACCCAGAUGACUGCCAUAAAACACAAAAGCCAGGAAGAUUAUGGUCGUUUAAGCGGUUCGGGACAUUUUGGGAGAAAGAUGUACCAGAAAACAACGAGGCGUUUUUCAAAGAGAGUUUCCGAAUGGAGAGGCCUUGCUUUGAUAUUUUAGUGAAUCGGCUUGAAGUGCUGCGAAAGAAGGACACCAACUGCCGAGCUGCAAUUCCUUUGGAAAAGCGCAUCGCCAUUGCGCUAUACACUUUGGGCUCGUCCUCUGAGUACCGAACAGUUGGCAGGCUUUUCGGUGUAGCUCCAAACAGUGUGUGUAAUAUCCUGCACGAGUUUUGCAGAGCACUUAUCGACGAGUUUUCGAAGGAGUACAUGUCGCCCAAUAACCUAACUUCCGACAAAAUUUAUGAGUGCGUAAAGGGAUUCGAGGCAAUUGGGUUUCAUCAGUGCCUAGGUGCAAUUGAUGGAUGCCACAUCGAAAUAAAACCACCAGCAGCUGAGGCAGUAGACCACCAUAACUAUAAGGGCAGGUAUUCCACAGUCUUGUUUGCCCUAGUGGAUUAUAGAUACAGAUUUACAUAUGUAAAUAUCGGCUCUGCAGGAAGGUGCAAUGACUCGAUGAUAUACCAGAAGUCAAGCCUUGCAAAACAUAUCGAAGCAUCGGCAUUACUCCAAGAGAAAGCCAAGGAAAUAAGCGGAGUAAACGUCCCUGUAAUGCUUAUCGGGGACUCGGCAUUUAGGUUUUCUAACAAGCUGAUGAAACCUUACCCGUUUUCCACAGUCGCCUCUUUGGAACAGCGCACGUUUAACUACAACCUUUCCAAAGCUAGGCGAGUGGUGGAAAAUGCAUUUGGGCAUUUUUAAUAAGUCUAAUAAGUCGUUCUGGAAUUUUGUUUGGGUGCUGAUCAAUUCCUGCACCAUACGUCGUGCUCCUCCUUCUUUCUGUGGUGGUCCUUUUGUUGUUCGAGACGCUCCUGGGCGAUCUCUGCCAGCCACGAAAUGUCGGUCUUUUUCUUUUUCUUUGGCGGACGCCCAGACAAGGUGCUGGAGCUACAAGAU